UCCCUGGCAGCCCAAUGGUUAGGACUCCACACUUUCACUGUCAAGGGUGUGGGUUCAAUUCCUAGUCAGGGAA
rnacentral:tRNA from 1 species